GUUGAAUUCUAUUACUAAGCAGUUGUGUUUCAAGCUUCAAUUCAAGUACUUCAAGUUUACUUUAAAUGACCUGAUGCAAAUAUAUGAUUUAGAUCUUUAAGUAAGAACUACAGAAGCUCUGCCAGGCUCCAUUAUUUAGUCUUGAAAGUUCCAUUAUUUCCAGACAUCCCAAAGUAAGAGUCUGCCAAGAAAUGGGAGGAACAGAAGGUCCUAUCAAAAGGUGUCCUGCCAGGGAGAUGACAAGACGGAUAUAAUUUCAACACCAUCCUAAUUUGCUUUGCUGACCAAAAAGAGAAGAUUCCGGCUUUUUCCUUCAACAAGAUCCUCCACAACAGAGAACUUUAUUUUAAAUCCUGUCAACUGAGUUCUCCUCCUACUCCCCAUGUAUGCCUGCAUCUUCCAGUGGUAUAAGAAGAGGAAGAGACACCAAAGACCUUACUCUUUUCUUUUGUGCAAAGAGGACUGGCCAAGUGGGGACACAGCCAAGAAAGCAGCCUGCAAGCCAUUAAGGGAGACUUCACUGGAAAACAACACUGGCACCUUCAUCUUGGACUUCCAGACUCUGCAAAGGUCUGAAGCUUAUUCCUGUUAGAAGUCUUCAGUGACUUCAGCACAAAAACCCAAACAGGAAAUAUGGCUUCCCAACUCUUUGGCAGACUUCUUCUUGGAUCAUGGUAAUAAGGAGCACCAGCUGAGUUUCAAGAAGCAGAGGUCAUAAUCCUGCUUUCCCCAGGGAUGCACUGAUGGUUUUCGAGUUAAAUGGAGACAAGAGGAAAUAAUUCAUAAGACCGAAAGAAGAUUUUUAAAUACUAUUGCUUCAGUUAUCCAGAGAUACCAAGAAGAAUGUCAUAUAGCUUGAAUUAUCUUGAUAAUAGCUUGAAGUCUACUUAGUUUCGUAUUCAUUUCCUGGUCAUAACAUGAGAUACCUGAGUAAAUGUCUGAGUUUGCAAAGAAUGAAUAGAAAAGUCCUCAUUAGUUAAUAAAUAAUACUAGGCAGCUCACACACAAGUUUUGCCACGGUGACUAGUGAAAUAUGUGAAAGCAUGUGGUCCCCAGAGACUAAUUCCACAAUAACCAUAUCCCUCUUCCAGACUUUGAGAUGAGUGCCCAGAUUUAGACAAGCUCGACAGUGCUCAAGUAGAAAUGAAACCAUUUGAUUGGUGUCAUUGAAAAGAAUAGUGGUUUCUCCUCUCUUCCAUUAAGUUUAAAGAGAACAGGGAAAAUUCCCUAUCUUCAUAUUCAGCUGCUUCCUUCAUUUAUUUAGUUCUGUCAAUUUGCAUUAACACAUUUUUCUUUAAUACCAUCAACCCAUGUUAAAGUAAUUGAAGAACUGGGGCAACGUUUUGGCUGAAACAGGUAAAUAUGCAGAAGUGAGUUCAUUCAUAAACUUACUUCCAAUUAAGUUCUCUCCAAAAGAGGUCAGAAUAAUCACUGUGGCCAAAAGCAACUUAUUUAAGAAUGCAUUAUAUUACUUAAAAAACAGUUAAGUCCUUUCCUUGUAUACAGAAAGACUUAUUUAGUAAGAAUAUGCUACGAGGAGUCUACAUUGACAGUGUCUUAGUCUCAUUUUCAUUUAGUUAUAAAUUAUUAGAAAAAUAAGGUAAGGGAGAGUAACAUUUGAUUUUAUUAUUGGACAUGGUAAUAACCUGAUUCUAUAAUGAUACAGUUUUUGUUGUUAUAAAUAUACGACACACACACACACACCCCACAAAAAAAAAAAAAAAAAAAAAAGGAGAUGGAGAAUUGGUAAAUUCUGAUCAUUCUAAGUUUUGUAGAUAGUCAAAUUUGAUAGGACUGGGACACAUAUUAAAGCCAGAUUCAUUGUAACAAUGUGGGAGAUAAGGAAAGUUUCAACUUUGCUUUGGAUGACUAGGUCCCCUGAGCUUACUAAGUCUGAUUACAUGUAUGAGGCUGAGCCAGAACCUGAGUUGUGUAUGAGUGUAGUGAAACAGAAAAUGGCCAGCCCACAGGAGUAACUAAUUAUCAGAAACAUUACUGCUAUGGCGCUAUGGGAGAGAGUAUAUCAUCAGGUUUAAACUGGCCUUAGACGUCUAUCUUAGAUCAGUGCAAUGCACACUUUCAUAUAGGAAACUGCAUAAAUUCACACUUCUUGUGGGUAAAUUGUAUGUUAUGUUUUGCAAAAUAGACCUUAUUUUCAAUUAAAUAAAGAAAAGGGGUAGUUGUCUGACUCGAUCAUUUGUGGGACCUCUAUAGGCAGGUCUUAUAAACCAUUUGCUCUUCAGCUUGUACACAUAUGUGUUCGUGUGUGUGUAUGCAUAAACAA